AUUGAACGCUGGCGGCAGGCCUAACACAUGCAAGUCGAACGGUAACAGGAAGAAGCUUGCUUCUUUGCUGACGAGUGGCGGACGGGUGAGUAAUGUCUGGGAAACUGCCUGAUGGAGGGGGAUAACUACUGGAAACAGUAGCUAAUACCGCAUAACGUCGCAAGACCAAAAAGGGGGACCUUCGGGCCUCUUGCCAUCGGAUGUGCCCAGAUGGGAUUAGCUAGUAGGUGGGGUAACGGCUCACCUAGGCGACGAUCCCUAGCUGGUCUGAGAGGAUGACCAGCCACACUGGAACUGAGACACGGUCCAGACUCCUACGGGAGGCAGCAGUGGGGAAUAUUGCACAAUGGGCGCAAGCCUGAUGCA
rnacentral:rRNA from 1 species